ACGCUCGACACCUACGGGAGGCAGCAGUGGGGGAUAUUGCACAAUGGAGGAAACUCUGAUGCAGCGACGCCGCGUGAGGGAAGACGGUUUUCGGAUUGUAAACCUCUGUCUUCAGGGACGAAAUGAAUGACGGUACCUGAGGAGGAAGCUCCGGCUAACUACGUGCCAGCAGCCGUGGUAAUCUGAGCGGGCUGGCAAGGC
rnacentral:rRNA from 1 species